GACGAACGCUGGCGGCGUGCUUAACACAUGCAAGUCGAACGGUGAAGCGCCUUCCUUUUUGGUGGGUGUGGAUGAGUGGCGAACGGGUGAGUAACACGUGAGUAACCUGCCCCCUUCUUCUGGAUAACCGCAUGAAAGUGUGGCUAAUACGGGAUAUUCUGGGUCUGUCGCAUGAUGGGUCUGGGAAAGAUAUUGUUUCGGUGGGGGAUGGGCUCGCGGCCUAUCAGCUUGUUGGUGGGGUGAUGGCCUACCAAGGCGGUGACGGGUAGCCGGCCUGGGAGGGUGGACGGUCACACUGGGACUGAGACACGGCCCAGACUCCUACGGGAGGCAGCAGUGGGGAAUAUUGCACAAUGGGCGCAAGCCUGAUGCAGCGACGCCGCGUGAGGGAUGGAGGCCUUCGGGUUGUGAACCUCUUUCGCCAGUGAAGCAGGCCUGCCUCGUUUGUGGGUGGGUUGACGGUAGCUGGAUAAGAAGCGCCGGCUAACUACGU
rnacentral:rRNA from 1 species